UUGCUACUCCCUCCGUUCGGAAUUACUUGUCACAAAAAUGGAUGUAUCUACAACUAAAAUACAUCUAGAUACAUUCAUUUCUUGGACGAGUAAUUCCAAACGGAGGGAGUACUUG
rnacentral:pre_miRNA from 1 species